GGUGGCCGAGCCCAAGCACUAGACUUUUAAUCUAGCCACAAUACUUUAACGUAUUCCUG
rnacentral:tRNA from 1 species